GGGGCCGUAGCCCAAUUGGCAGAGGCACACGGUUUAGGUCCGUGCCAGUGUGGGUUCGAGUCCCACCGGCCCCAC
rnacentral:tRNA from 1 species